CAUGGGGGAAGGUGAUUAAUGACAAAAUUUUCUUAGGGCUGGACCAGAAUAUUUAAUUAUUUGUAAUAUUUGUUCGGUGGGUUGGAUUCGAUUUUCGAUUUUAAGAUUCAAAUAAUCUUGUUUUUUUUUUUUUUAACACCUGGUUUCCCCCUCGAAAUGGUUCUCAUUCGCGCUUGAAUAUGAAUUCAAGUGAAUGUCAUGAUUCAGUUAAUCUGGAAGAGAAGAAAAAAGUGCCGAAGACCUCAGGUGUUUGGGAGCACUUUAAAUUAAGUGAGGACAAGUCAAAGGCAAAUUUGUCUGUAAUGGCAAAAUGAUUGUAUUUCGUUACAUUUUUUUAUGAUGUUUAUUUAGAAAAACGUUUAGAGCAUUUUUUGUUUGUUAAAUAUAAGUUUUUGUUUUUUAAAGUAACGACCAAUCGGCCAGCGGCAGACAGUGAGCUGAUCGCCUAUGUUUGAUCAAUUUAGGCAAGCAGCUCCAAACCACCAAGUACUGAUGGCCAGCCAUGUUUCUCACCUUCAAGAAAAAGGAUGAACCCUUCUUCAGACUCUUCAUCUCAGUCUGCUUCACAGGUACAGUCUGUAUCUUCAUCUGAAGCAUCAUUGGUCUCAACUACGGACACUGACCUUCAUGCCCAGGCAGCUUCAAAAGAUGAGCCAAUUCAGGGCGAUGACACCCAUGCAGAGGCUGGCAUGUCAGGUCUUCAGGGCAACAACAACAACAACAAUCUCAGCCUCCAUGUUGGUGAUGGUCACACAAGUCCACACAGGUUAAAGGAAGAGUUCAGGUGCAGUGAAGGAGAAAGCAAAGAGUCAAAGCCAUCACACUUAGAUAAGUUUGGCUCUGGAGAUGGACGGAGCGAGGACCGGAAUAGGGUUUUAGAGCGCCCACACUUUUCUUCAGCUGUGAAAGACAGGGACCGGUAUAGACACUAUAGGGAAUACAACGAAAGAAGCCGGAGUCGCUAUGGUCAUAGCUAUCGCGAGAGUCGUUCUUUUAGAGAGCGUUCCACCAGUAGAGACCGGCAUCACAGAGAUCACUGGGACAGAUUCUCACAUCACCGUCGAGAGCACCAUCAUUCCCAAAGAAGACCCAGAGAGGAACGCAACCGGAGUAGGGAUAGGAGAUUUGUGAGUGACUCUUAUCGUCCUUCUGGACACAAUAACCGAGAUGGAUAUUCCAGUCACAGCCAUCGUGGGGUGGACGGUGGCUAUGGAAGGAUGUCCCAUACAGUGAAUGGUUCAAAAGUAAGACCCUCAUCUCCACGUUCUGUCAGCCCACUGCCUGGACAUUACAAGCGGAAACGCAGUCCAUCGGCUGAUGCAAGACAAAGCUCUGAUGAGUGCAGAGCGAAGAAAUACAAAAAGAAAAAGAGAAACAAAGAAAAGCACAGGCCCUCAGAGAAGGACCCAUCUGAGGGCAUUGAGGAUAGCAGCUUCAAGAGACAUAAAAAGAAGAAAAAGAAAAAGAAGAGGAGGGAGGAUGAGGAGAGGCCUCACACUAGGAGAGACGUCACUCCAAAGCGGGAAGAGCAUGAUUCUAGAGCUAGGAAUGGUGCAGAGAAAGGAAGUCUGCACCACAGCUCAGAGUCUUUUCGCAAUGUCCACCGAGACCAUACAGAGGACCACCAACAGCUCAAUGGACACAAAGCUAGUGGCCUGAGCUGUUACAGUGGAAGUGAACUUGAGCAUACUGGAAUGGAUAAAGACAAACACAAAUAUUUUGAUCAUUCUACCACUGUCAUAGGCACAAAGACACUCUCAAAUGGAAAUGGAGAUGUGGACGGUGUAUGUCACAGGACUCUUUCAGAUGUUGAAAAAGCCACGCAUCCUCACUAAAAGGGAAGGUGAUUUCUUGAACACAUCUAAGGUAAGACUAUUUUUUUU
rnacentral:lncRNA from 1 species